GAAAAAGAAAAAGAAAAACCCACCCCCGAAUCGAGCGACUGCGUCUCCCACCCCAUCUGAAUCCGCUGCCUCGCCGCCGCCGGCCCGCAUCCUCCGCCGCGCCGUGCUGCCGUCCUCCCCGCACCCCGGCCUGCCUCCUCUCCGCCGCGCCCUCCUCCCCGCUCCGUGCUGCCGUCCUCCCCGCACCCCGGCCUGCCUCCUCUCCGCCGCGCCCUCCUUCCCGCGCCGUCCAAGUCCUCGCGCGGUUCGCCGAUGCCGAGGCCCAGGCCGCCGCGCUCCGGGCCUGCACCGGCGGGCUCGAGCACGCGCCGCCAACCGCGACGGGGUGCUCAACACGCUCCGCGCCGCCACGGUAAACGGCCGGGAGGAGGAGGAGGACGCGCAAGAGGCAGGGCGGUGUCAGAAUCGCGCGCGUUGGAUCCGGCCGAUGGUUACGGCGACAUGGACGCGGAUGCUUUGGCCGUGGCCGCCGCGCUCUAUGCCCUGCCCCUGCUUGCCGAGCCCUGCCUCUCCGGAUCUCCAGCCAUGUAUGCUGCUGGGGACCUUGCAGGUCCAUGCUCGUCGGCGAGGGGGAGCGCAGACAGCAGCCUAGCCCGUCACCGUCAGUAACAUGGCAGUAGGCCUCUUCUCCCCUUCUCAGUUUACAGCAGCAUGCCACACUCUCAGGCUCCUGUCCCCCGUUGUUAGCACACCGAUUCAGAGGCAGAGGCUGACUUGCAGCUCGUGGACACAGAGGAAGCCUAAGAUCAAUCUCAAAAGUUGUUAUCAUUGUUCUCAGCCAGCGAUGCAUAGGGGAAUUGUUUGCUCAUCUAUGUGUUAAAAUCUGGACCUCUUCAUCAACGACUUUAAUAAGGAUGAGAUCAAGCUGCGUCUGCUGCUCUGUCCACCACAACAAUUUUGGAAUGCAUUAACUUUUAUCUGCCCAGGUUGAAUCCUUCAUUCCUCAUUCUCAUCCUAAUUUCUUGAUGUUGGGCAAGACACUCCAGAUGAGUUGCUAACAUCAAAAGGCUUCAGUUCUAACUAGAAGAAAUUUUGCUUAGGAAUAUUUUAUCAGUUUUGUGGUCAAUUAAUCAACUGGUGUUACAAUAAAAGCAAGAAAGUGAUGCAAGUUCUUUGGGAUAUAUGCACUGGAAAAUAUAUGAACACUGUUGGCCCAAAAUCACAGGGCCCCACUAAAUUGUUGGCCAUUUGGCCUCAUGAUUUUAAUGAUAAUCGUUCUACCAUGAAUUUUGUCUUCCGCUAGCAUUUCAACAGUACUGUGUGCUGUAGCAGUAUACAUCUGAAAGAGUUUCCUCCUAUGCCAUGGAUCCGGUGUAGCGCUCCAGUGAGAAAUAAUCAAUGGUGUACUUAUCCCCUUUACAUGUUCUUUAUUUACAUUUUUUACAUUGAAUUCUAAGCUAAGUGCUUAGUCUUUUGUUACUUGCAGCCUUGCAGGUAGGAACAUGAGCAUUCAUAUCUGGGAGUUCCGAAGAAGGCGUUGACCCCAUUAUAUAUAUUGCUGCUCUCUGCCAGAAACCAAACAAAUAACACUUCUAUGAUGCUGCUCACUGAUUGAUACUAAAUACGAGUAUAUGGCUUGUUCUCGAGGAUAGUUAUCACUUUUUGAUUCAUAUGGAAUUUGAGGAUAUGGAUGACACUGGUUUGUUUCUUUCACUACUAAAAUUCUGUCCACCAUUAGCUUACGGGCAAUGCUCCAGAUCCACGCGAACAUGCCCGAGUAAAUGCUCUUUAUGAUUCCAUGUUCUUAUGUAAUAAGACUUGAUGUGUUUUAUCUUCCAAUAAUUCAGACACGUGCCUUCCACAACUUGAUACAAGCUGCUGACAAGAGUUAGAGGGGAGUGCGAGAGGGGUAGCAGAGUGGCCAGUGAGGGGAGCACCAUCACGGGAGCUGUGUUAAUAGAAGGCAACGUCGAGAAGAUGUCGACAACCUCCGUGGAUGAGCGGUGGUUGUGAGAGUUUGCCAAGGAAGGCCUACUCGAUCAUGGAGUGGCUAUCGCUGCAAAAGGCGACGCUAGCAACAGAGACAGCCAUCCAUUUGUGCCACCAUCAAUAACAACGUUGUAACAAGCAUAGCUCUGCACUGGUUGCUGAAGCAGUAGAGUGGCUUAUGUCAUGUAGGCAACUGGUGGCUACAAGGAUCCGUACGUAAACAUGGAAAUAUAAUUGGCCGUGCCUUGUUUACAAAUAUGAAGGUGACUUGACGGAAGAGGGCAAAUUUCAGCAGACUUAAAAAAUAGAUAUAAAUGUGAGUAAUGACAUCAAGUUGGGGGAGCAAUCGAAUUAUCAUUUCUUUUAAAUUCCAGAAUUUUUUUACAAAUUCAGAUAUUUUUUUUACUUCAUGAACAUUUUUUGAAAUCUAGGAACAUUUCUAAAUAAAAAAACAAAUUUGCGUACAUUUUUCAAACUCACAACAAUUUUAAAUCCCAUUUUUUCAAAUUUGUGAAUUUUAUAUUGAACUAGUGAACAUUUUUCAAAUGACCAAUAUUUUUCAAAUUGUUAACAUUUUCUAAUUAGCAAAGUUUCUAGAUUCACACACAUUUUGGUGAAUUCGUGAAUAUUUUGUGAGAUUCAAAAAUAAUAAUUUGGGAACAUAAAAAAAGGAAUGAACUUUAAAAAAAAUAUGGGAACAUUUUUUCAAAUUCAGAACUAUUGUAAAUGUUGAAUACUAUACAAAUUUUGUUUACAUUUUUUUAAAAUUCAUUAACCGUUUACCUUUUAGGAAAUAUAAUUGGUGGUGCCUUGUUUGCAAAUAUGAAUAUCGAAAAUUCUGAAAAAAAUCAUGGAUUUGAAAGAAAAAAAUCAUGUAUUUGAAAACAGGUUAAUGAAUUUUGAAAUAUGAGCAUGAAUUCAAAAAAAGUUCAUGGAUUUGAAUUUUUUUUUGUGGUGUCCAACAAAUAUUCAUAGAUUUAGAAAUGUUCAAGAUUUGAAAAAAAUCGUGGAUUUGAAACAAAAGUAAUCAAAUUAACAAAUGAUUUGGAAAACAAUUAUGGAUUUAAAAACUGUUCACUAUUUUUAAAAAUGUUUUUGGUUUUCCAAAUGUUUACAGAUUUGAAAAAAGUUUCAGGAUAUAUAAAAUGCUAACAAAUUUGAAAAUGUUUGGAAUAUUAGAAAAACAAAUUUAUAAAAAAAUCAUUGAUUCAAAAUGAAAAAGUAAAAAAACAAGAAAAAGAUAAAUAAAAAA